AAUUUAUUUAUCCAUCCAAAAGAUGAUAAUGUGGCAACUUUUUUAAGUGAUGUCAACCUUUUAAAAAAAUAAAUUCAAAGAAAAAUAAUUUAGAGUUUCAUCUUUCCUAGUUUUCCCUUUUCCCUCAAUACCCCUACAUCUUCUUCUGGUCUCUUCCCUCUUCAAGAUGAUUUCCAAAAAUAAUUUAGUUGAGUAUUUGGAAAUUCAUUUUGAAACAAAAGAUGAUUUCAAGAUUGAGUUGGUAAUUUAUGGAAGAGAUGGGUUAGCCUUGAAGACUAGAGUGCAAAGACCUUGCAGAGAAAGUGAGACUUGGAAAUAUAUAUGAUCGAUCUAAUUGAAACACUUGAAUUGGAGCCACGGGAUGCAUUAGUGAGCCUACAAACAUGGACAUGGGUUCUGAUGAAUAGAAGUAGCUUGAGUUCAUAAAUAGGAUAUGUCAUGCUUUUAUUGGCUAUUUUAGUCGUUGCAACUUACUUGCCAUUUGAGUGAAUUAUGGUCAAUUGUUCACAGUUCUCAAAUGAAUAGUAAAUGUUUUGGGAUACCAAAAAAGUUAUAUGCAAGAGAUAUAGAUUUAG
rnacentral:lncRNA from 1 species